CACGCCGUAAACGAUGAAUACUAGGUGUAGGAGGUAUCGACUCCUUCUGUGCCGCAGCUAACGCAAUAAGUAUUCCGCCUGGGAAGUACGAUCGCAAGAUUAAAACUCAAAGGAAUUGACGGGGGCCCGCACAAGCAGCGGAGCAUGUGGUUUAAUUCGAAGCAACGCGAAGAACCUUACCUAGACUUGACAUCCCCUGAAUUACCUGUAAUGAGGGAAGCCCUUCGGGGCAGGGAGACAGGUGG
rnacentral:rRNA from 1 species